GAGCCCGUAGCUUAGCCUGGUGGAGCACCGGUCUUAUAAGCCGGGGGUCGCGCGUUCAAAUCGCGCCGGGCUCA
rnacentral:tRNA from 1 species